rnacentral:rRNA from 1 species
GCAGUCGAACGGCACCUAUCUUCGGAUAGAAGCGAGUGGCGAACGGCUGAGUAACACGUGGAGAACCUGCCCCCUCCCCCGGGAUAGCCGCCCGAAAGGACGGGUAAUACCGGAUACCCCGGGGUGCCGCAUGGCACCCCGGCUAAAGCCCCGACGGGAGGGGAUGGCUCCGCGGCCCAUCAGGUAGACGGCGGGGUGACGGCCCACCGUGCCGACAACGGGUAGCCGGGUUGAGAGACCGACCGGCCAGAUUGGGACUGAGACACGGCCCAGACUCCUACGGGAGGCAGCAGUGGGGAAUCUUGCGCAAUGGGGGGAACCCUGACGCAGCGACGCCGCGUGCGGGACGGAGGCCUUCGGGUCGUAAACCGCUUUCAGCAGGGAAGAGUCAAGACUGUACCUGCAGAAGAAGCCCCGGCUAACUACGUGCCAGCAGCCGCGGUAAUACGUAGGGGGCGAGCGUUAUCCGGAUUCAUUGGGCGUAAAGCGCGCGUAGGCGGCCCGGCAGGCCGGGGGUCGAAGCGGGGGGCUCAACCCCCCGAAGCCCCCGGAACCUCCGCGGCUUGGGUCCGGUAGGGGAGGGUGGAACACCCGGUGUAGCGGU